rnacentral:rRNA from 1 species
GGACCCGCACAAGCAGUGGAGCAUGUGGUUUAAUUCGACGCAACGCGAAGAACCUUACCAGCGUUUGACAUGGGAAGUACCGGUUACAGAAUGGUAACCUUCAGUUCGGCUGGCUUCCGCACAGGUGCUGCAUGGCUGUCGUCAGCUCGUGUCGUGAGAUGUUGGUUAAGUCCCGCAACGAGCGCAACCCUUAUCGUUAGUUACUAACAGUUCGGCUGAGGACUCUAGCGAAACUGCCGGUGAUAAGCCGGAGGAAGGUGGGGAUGACGUCAAGUCCUCAUGGCCCUUACACGCUGGGCUACACACGUGCUACAAUGGCCGGUACAAACGGUUGCGAACCCGCGAGGGGAAGCUAA